rnacentral:sRNA from 1 species
CUCGGCCUGUAAUGCAGUCCUAUUUAUGUUACAAAGUGAAAUAGAAACUUCGUUCCACCGCUUUACACAGCGUCGUCCUGAAGCAUUCAACGUUCUUUUGUCCAUAAGUAAUUCAUUAUGCUGGCUUAAGUGCGCAAUCUAGCGUGACAUCUAUAUUAUUUUCAGGAGACACAUCAUGUCUAAAGCAACUGGUAUCGUUAAGUGGUUCAACGACGAGAAAGGUUUUGGUUUCAUCACUCAAGACAACGGUGCUGACGUUUUCGUUCACUUCCGUGCUAUCACUGGUGAAGGCUUCAAAUCUCUGGCUGAAGGCCAAAAAGUAGCAUUCGACGUUGAGCAAGGCCAGAAAGGUCCUCAAGCUGCUAACGUAGAAAAAAUCUAAUUUUAGUUAGAUUAAAGAAUUUUUAAAGGGCGUUUUUAACGCCCUUUUUUAU